GGGGACGAUAAUGGUUUCGACGGGAAACGCUCUUUAAAAUCUGCAAGCCGAGAUUGACUUUACUCGUUAAAGAAGUCAAAAAAUAAAUGCUGACGAUGAAAAUCUCAGUCCAGCAUUAGCACUAAAUCCGUUUGAGGGCGAACCAGCCUUUCAACCGCUUUACGCUUAAGCUGGUAUCCUAAAAGCUCGUAUCUUGUCCGACUUUUAAGGGUAUAAACCAGAUAAGAUAGGGAAAGUUUGAUUGGUUUUGCAUACUUUCCAGAAAAUUUAAAGCCAAACUUCUAACUCUUUUGAUAGUUUUUGAGGUUGGAAGUAAACACCAAAACUUCAGCCAUAGGCUGAUCGUCCUCUGGACGAACCUAAGCUUGUAGACGAUUUUAAAAUUGUUUUUCGGACGAGGGUUCAAUUCCCUCCGUCUCCACCA
rnacentral:tmRNA from 1 species